CCUACGGUGAGCUGCAGUGAGGAAUAUAGGUCAAUGGACGCAAGUCUGAACCAGCCAUGCCGCGUGCAGGAAGACGGCUCUAUGAGUUGUAAACUGCUUUUGUACGAGGGUAAACGCAGAUACGCGUAUCUGUCUGAAAGUAUCGUACGAAUAAGGAUCGGCUAACUCCGUGCCAGCAGCCGCGGUAAUACGGAGGAUUCAAGCGUUAUCCGGAUUUAUUGGGUUUAAAGGGUGCGUAGGCGGUCUGAUAAGUGAGAGGUGAAAUCCCGAGUCUCAACUUCGGAAUUGCCUCGGAUACUGUUCGGCUAGAGAGUAGUUGCGGUAGGCGGAAUGUAUGGUGUAGCGGUGAAAUGCUUAGAGAUCAUACAGAACACCGAUUGCGAAGGCAGCUUACCAAGCUACUUCUGACGUUGAGGCACGAAAGCGUGGGGAGCAAACAGGAUUAGAUACCCCAGUAGUC
rnacentral:rRNA from 1 species